rnacentral:rRNA from 1 species
UACAGAGGUCUCAAGCGUUGUUCGGAUUCAUUGGGCGUAAAGGGUGCGUAGGCGGCGCGGUAGGUCGGGUGUGAAAUCUCGGAGCUUAACUCCGAAACUGCAUUCGAUACUGCCGUGCUUGAGGACUGGAGAGGAGACUGGAAUUUACGGUGUAGCAGUGAAAUGCGUAGAUAUCGUAAGGAAGACCAGUGGCGAAGGCGGGUCUCUGGACAGUUCCUGACACUGAGACACGAAGGCCAGGGGAGCAAACGGG